CAUGAGGCAUCAUGGAACAGAGAAUACCUGGUGCCCAGGAAACCUAUAAAAACACACUGGGCACUUGCUCUGGGCUCUGCUCAAGAAACCUUCAGCCCCAAGCUGCACUGUGGUCCAGAGGGUCCUCUGGCGCCGAAACCCAGGGAAACCCUCAGGCAUUCGAAACGCUCUGCCACCCGACCAGGCUGCAAAUCCACCCCCACUGCUGAAGGGACACCUGUGUCCUCUGCCUGCCAGGAGCCACCUUGGCACAGAGCGUCCCGGGAGCCUAGAGAACAACGCCCAGCCUCUGGCUGCUGGCUUGCGGCUUCCACCGAUCCCCCCACCCACCCCACCUCUCAGCCUGGAUAUGCAGCCUCGGAGCUGGGCCGCCGUCCAGAGGGUCCUCUGGCGCCGUCUUGCGGACAGCUGCUCUCACAGCAGCUCUCAGGUGGUCCUCAUCUCUGUGGCUCCCCAGCCCCCGGGGCUCCAUCCGCCUUGGGCAAGAUGCUGCUUGGCCGUCCAUCGCCCCGCCCCUUCCUUUUCAAGACCAAGAAGUGCCCGACAAAGGGGGCUCCGUCUCUCUCAAGGGCUUCCAGUGCACUGAGGCCAACCUACCCCACCCCAACCAGCCCAUUCAAACCCUCAGCUCCACACCCAUCACGUCCCCGACAGCCUUCUUCCCUGCUUCACGCAGGCGCUCCUGAGCGCAGCUGGGCACGGCUGCCACUGGCGACUCUUUUCUUACCUUUCCGCCUUUGAUUCGGUCGCACACACGUGUCUUGCCUCGAUUCUCUGCUUUCCGCGCCUUCCUUUCUCCCCUUCCUUCUUGGGUCCUGUCUUCCUUCCUGUCUCUCUCUUCCUUGCUCCCUCUUCACUUUCUCUCUUUAUUGACUCCCCAUCCCACCCCCACCAAAGCAAGCAUGCUUUGUCUGCCCAUCGACAGAUUUCAAGCCACUGAGGUUCCCAGUCCCCCAGCAGGGCCCAGGGCAGGUCCUUGACCCAGAGAGCCAGGAGGGAUCUCCAGGAGAGCUUUCUUUCGAUCAAUCUACCGGCCUGAAUUCCCCGGACCUGGCUUUCAAUCAGGUCUUCCUACCAGGUGUAUAGAGAGAGAGGAAAAAAAACAAGAGGCUCAUGUGGAAAGAAAAAGACGGAGGUUCAGGAGACCUCUUGAGAGAAAUGGCACGGGGAUUAGUGCAGCUGCUCACCAAAAAAAUAAAAUAAAAUAAAAUAAAAUAAAAUAAAAUAAA
rnacentral:lncRNA from 1 species